rnacentral:pre_miRNA from 11 species
CGUCAUCGUCAUCGUCGCACAGGUGUAAUCUAGCCUCUCCUAGGCUUUGUCUGUUACCUUCCUUGGGAAUUCCACUAGCCAGACAUAGCCUGACAGAGGUUAGGUGAAAUCUGAAAAGUCAACGGCCAACGGUU